GCUCAUCGAAAUGUGGUUAAAAAAUUAUCAAAAUUAUAUUCAGAUAAAAUAUUAUAUAAGCAUAAGGACAAAUGGGUUAAGAGAAAAAAAAUGAAUGGAGUUAGUGGUGGUUCUUUAUUACGUUCGGAGACAUGGACGAGUUCAAGCAGUUUGUUAGGUCCUGUCACUACUAGCGCUACCACUGCUACUACCGUUACUACCACCACCACUACCACCACUACCACUACUACCACUGCUAACAGCGUAGUCCUGUUUGAUUAUAUAUAUCGCAUAGACAAAAACGAUAUAAACGAUUUUAAUGAAAUAUAUAAAAUUUUUAAAAGUAAAUAUAUCAACUUCAUCCCUAAAAAAUACGACUUAAAUGAUGUAUUUUGUCCUAUUAUUAAAAACAUAUAUUCGAAUUUCCAUGAGCUUAAAAUUUUAUUAUGCUUAAAAAAAAUAGAUAAAAUAUAUGCCUUAUUUUGGACAAAUAUGCAUAAUUGUAUUAAUAUAUAUCCGUUCUGUAAAUACCUUAAUAAACUGACAUUUUUUAUGUUAGACCUGGGAUUAACUGUUUUAUUACCCCUUUAUGAAAUCGACAACAUAAUUCAUAUGUAUAAGUUUGUGAAGUCUUUAUGUGGUAGCAAUAGUGGUGAUAGCAAUAGUGGUGAUAGCAAUAGUGGUGAUAGCAAUAGUGGUGAUAGCAAUGGUGGUGGUAGUAAAGCGGGUGGUGCUACAGGAACAAUCGACAACCACAACUACGACAGUCACAAGAAUGUGGAACAUAAGCAGAAAGAAACGAGAAAAACUAAAGACAACGCUUUGACAACUAGCAUAAAUAAUGAAGCAUCAUGUGAAAACGUAUUGAAUUUAACAGCUGAUUAUUUAAAACGUAAACUAAAAAUGCACAUAUCAACUUAUGUUUCGUUUAUAAAAGAAUGUCUAAAUGAAAAAGACUCAUGUACAGUCAUAUAUUUAUUAGAUUUUGUUUUUUCGGAUUUCAAAGAGCACAAUUCAAAAGAUAUUUUAAUGAGGUGGUUAAAGUGUAUUCCAUUACUAAUGGUAAUAAAUUUUGAUAAUUUAUAUAUAAAACAAAAAAUAGAAAAUUAUAUAAAAACGAAGGAACAAAUAAGGCAAAACGUAUGUAAACCGAGUGAUAGUAUUUUAAAAGAACGUAACAUUUUUACUACUGCCACUGGUACAACUCUUUAUUC
rnacentral:lncRNA from 1 species